AUUGAACGCUGGCGGCAGGCCUAACACAUGCAAGUCGAGCGGAUGAAGGGAGCUUGCUCCUGGAUUCAGCGGCGGACGGGUGAGUAAUGCCUAGGAAUCUGCCUGGUAGUGGGGGAUAACGUCCGGAAACGGGCGCUAAUACCGCAUACGUCCUGAGGGAGAAAGUGGGGGAUCUUCGGACCUCGCGCUAGGAGAUGAGCCUAGGUCGGAUUAGCUAGUUGGUGGGGUAAAGGCUUACCAAGGCGACGAUCCGUAACUGGUCUGAGAGGAUGAUCGGUCACAUUAGGACUGAGGGACGGACCAGAGUGGUAGGGGAGGCAGCGGUGGUGAAUAUUGAACAAUGGGGGGGAGCCGGGGGAGGCAACGCGGCGUGCGGGAUGAAGGCCUUCGGGUUGUAAAGCGCUUUAGCCUGUGACGCAGCGUGAGUGACGGUAAUGGGUAAAGAAGCACCGGAUAACUACGUG
rnacentral:rRNA from 1 species